AGCUUCUCCUUUUCUAAUAAAGAAAAAAACAACAGAGGACCAGAAGGACCAAACCUGUUGUGACAGCAUCCCAGGAAGCUGCCUGCUGGGGAGACACAGGAGUAUGGAAAACCCGUCUGACUGUGGGAUCUCCUGCUGUAGAUCUGCAGAAAGCCAUUUCCUGACCACUUGCCUGUCGUGUAUGCGGGAUUGAAAUGGCUUUUAUUUUGCACAGGCUGAAGAUGGUGAAUUGAAACAACCAUAAUAAGAGUGGCAGCCAAAAACAAGGACAUUUACAAAGGAUAGUUAUUGCUUAGAUUAUGAAUAUCAAAUUUCUAUUGACAUGAAAAAAUUACAUCUUACAGAGAUAUUAUAAAUGUUGUCAUUCACAAUGAAGCAUAACAGAAAAGAUUUUACUCUCAGCUGCCUGUAGAAUUAAGUCACAUGAGCCAUUCUUCAGAGAAAUG
rnacentral:lncRNA from 1 species